rnacentral:rRNA from 1 species
AUUGAACGCUGGCGGCAGGCCUAACACAUGCAAGUCGAGCGAGCGGCGGACGGGUGAGUAAUGUAUGGGGACUGCCCGAUAGAGGGGGAUAACUACUGGAAACGGUGGCUAAUACCGCAUACUAUCGGAUAACCCAUAGGGGUUUAGCUAGUUGGUGGGGUAAAGGCUCACCUAGGCGACGAUCCCUAGCUGGUCUGAGAGGAUGAUCGGCCACACUGGGACGGAGAAAAGGGCCAGACGCCGACGGAGGGAGAAGUGGGGAAUAUUGCGCAAUGGGCGUAAGGCUGAAUGAGACAUGCCGCGUGUAUGAAGAAGGGCUUAGGGUUGUAAAAUUCUUUUCGUAGGGAAGCGGUACCCACAGAAAAAGCACCGGCUAACUCCGUGCCAGCAGCCGCGGUAAUAC